GUGUUUGCUUCAGCAGCACGUAUACUAAACUUGGAACAAUACAGAGAAGAUCAGCAUGGCCCUUGUGCCAGGAUGACAGAAUGUAAGGACAGCAGAACAGAAACUAU